rnacentral:tRNA from 2 species
CGCGGGAUGGAGCAGCGGUAGCUCGUCAGGCCCAUAACCUGAAGGUCGUCGGUUCGAAUCCGGCUCCCGCAA